CUGCAUCGGCCGACGCAAACGCUGACUGCGGUUAGUCCGGAACCUCUGCGUUCGUUUGAGACUUCGUCACCAACCGGCGCGGAGCAGAACUCUUCUGGAGGCCAUUGGAUGAACCUCCGACCAAUCAGAGCGAGGGUACGGUGGCGCAGAGCUGAGGGACCCCUCCUUUAAACCGCCCACAGAGCUGGCAUCGUGUUCGGUCGACACAUCUGAGAACCAGGGCUGUGGUGUAACUCUGUCUAACCAGGCCUACGGUGUAACUCUGUCUAACCAGGGCUGUGGUGUAACUCUGUCUAACCAGGGCUGUGGUGUAACUCUGUCUAACCAGGCCUACGGUGUAACUCUGUCUAACCAGGGCUGUUGUGCAACUCUGUCUAACCAGGCCUGUGGUGUAACUCUGUCUAACCAGGCCUACGGUGUAACUC
ensembl:lncRNA